rnacentral:rRNA from 1 species
GGGGAGCGAACCGGAUUAGAUACCCGGGUAGUCCACGCCGUAAACGAUGGAUACUAGCUGUUGGAGGUAUCGACCCCUUCAGUAGCGAAGCUAACGCGUUAAGUAUCCCGCCUGUGGAGUACGGCCGCAAGGCUAAAACAUAAAGGAAUUGACGGGGACCCGCACAAGCGGUGGAUUAUGUUCUUUAAUUCGAUGAUAACCGAAGAACCUUACCAGGGCUUGACAUCCAGGGAAGGUCUGCGAAAGUAGACUGUGCCUUUUGGAACCCUGUGACAGGUGAUGCAUGGCCGUCGUCAGCUCGUGUCGUGAGAUGUUAGGUUAAGUCCUUCAACGAGCGCAACCCUUGUGAAUAGUUGUAUUUUUCUAUUCAGACUGCCCCGGUAACGGGGAGGAAGGAGGGGAUGAUGUCAGGUCAGUAUUUCCCUUACGUCCUGGGCUAGAAACGUAAUACAAUGGCUAGUACAAUGCGCANGCGAAGCCGCGAGGUGAAGCAAAUCGCAUCAAAGCUAGUCCCAGUUCGGAUUGUAGGCUGAAACUCGCCUGCAUGAAGUCGGAAUCGCUAGUAAUCGCAAAUCAGCAAGUUGCGGUGAAUACGUUCCCGGGUCUUGUACACACCGCCCGUCAAACCAUGAAAGUGACCAACACCCGAAGUCCGAUUCGUCGGCCUAAGGUGGGGGGCAUGAUUGGGGUU